rnacentral:misc_RNA from 1 species
AAGUCGUAACAAGGUUUCCGUAGGUGAACCUGCGGAAGGAUCAUUAUUGAUUGGUCGAAAGACCUUAUCAGAUUCUACCACCUCUGUGAACCGUUGACCUCCGGGUUAAUAAUCAAACAUCAGUGUAACGAACGUAAGAGUAUCUUAAUUAAACAAAA